UCCUCACUAGUUUGCAGUCAUAGUAAAUGAGAAGAAAGCAAAGAUAAGAGAGCUGAAGGAAAGACCCUUGGCUGCCACUAUGCAUGAUGACAGUGGAGGUCAAAGUUCAAAUCAUAGAAGUGAAGCGAUGAAGAGUGACAGCGAUGACGCGAUGGAUCUAGGAGAUGAUGAUACCGACGAAAAGAGACAGAGAGAGGAAUCCUUACGGAAGAAGCAGAAGAAGACUACAGCGCCCUCUCAGACCAGAACAAAACGGUCAGAUGAUUCGGUUACAUUUGAUGAGGAGUUACCUGAAGACACAACCAGCAAAGCAAGGAGGAGAAGAAGAGAGCCAACAUCUAGAAAGACCGCUACGUCAGAGAAACCUGCCAUCCCUAAAAGUGCCUUCUUCAGGGACUCCUUCAACAUCAAGGGCACCCUCUAUGAGGAAAACUCCAUCGCGAGAGAAGAGUCAGACAGAGACUGAUAAUGUAGAUGAUCUCUUAGAUCAGUUCUGAACAACAAACUGAAUAUAUUAAUAGAUACAACUCAUUAUUUGUAAAGAAAAGAUGGAGUUCUUGUAAAAAUGAGGGUUUUUUUUUCCCUCUUUUUAAGGAUGGAGCUCAGUUUGAAAGAAUAUCAUAAAAGGUAUCUUUCUACAAAUGUCCCCUGAAAACGAUAUCUCUUCACAUUCAAAUGACCUCAUAUUUAAAUAAGACAUGAAAUAGCUGAAAAUUCUGGACCAAACUUUUGUGGUACAUGUGUAUUUGUCCCAUAUACUCAUUUUUAUGUGCAGUGCAUGUGAUCUUUAUCAGUUUUAUAUCACAUUGCUCUUUUCAGACCCUUGCAAUAUACAUGUACAUAAACUCUUACAUGCUUUUUCAUAAUGUGAUCAAAUUUAAUGCACAAAUCUUUGUGAAGUGCCUCAUUUGAAAUUAUUUAUUUCACCUGUUAUGAAUAAUUGUAUUUCAAUUGAUGCUAUGUAGGACAAACAUUGUGACUUGUCCUACCUUACACAAAGUAAUAUAUGCAAUUUGUUUGUAACAGGUGAAUGAAAUAAUUAGUAACGAUGUACAUGUACUAACAACAAUUUGUGCAUUAAUUUGAUUACAGUACGAAAAUGGCCAUUCUAGUUGUUGGCAGGUUCUUUCGUAAUGUAAUCACAAGACCAGUACUCAGAUUUAUCUUUAAAGGAAAGAUUGUAGCAGGGAACCUUGAAAAGUGAUAUUGCAAUUAUCCAGCUAGUCUUGUUUCGUCUUGUUUGUAACCAUUUCACGUAUUCCAAAGUGGUCUUUAACUAUUAAUAAGGAGUAAUCUAGUUUCUGUAAAUUCCAUGUAUUUUUGUUGUCAUAGAAUCAUAUAUAAUAGUUUUGCCCAAUACCUAGAUACGCCAUAGUCUGGUAUUACUGUUACUCACUUUCAGAAAAUUAAAGCAGUAAAAGCAUGUUUUUGCUAUUAGAAAGACGUUUUGAACAGUAAAAUAUGUACAAAACGUGUUUUUUGUUUAAUUAAUCAAAAACUUCUUUUAUCAGAACCCUGAAACAAAUAUAUUUUCCCUUUAGUAAUUUCCAUGUCUUCUAUAUUUGUUGUCGUAAAUAUUUUAUCGAAUAGAGCGGGACCAGCAAGAUUACUGUGUUUUAAUGAUGGUUUUUUAAAUGAGUGUUCUUUAUAAUACAUGUAGUAGUGGAAGGGAUGUCAUAGUCCGUUGAGUGGGUAAUAUUUGCGAGGAAAUGUCCUUGAGCCAGGUAUUCUUAUUCUACCUACAUUGCUACUCUCCUCUUAGGUGUUA